UUUCCGUAGGUGAACCUGCGGAAGGAUCAUUGUCACACAUCCUAAUGGAUGCUUGUGCCAACAAGCAGACCCAGCGAACCAUUCUCCUAUCACUUGAGGGGCUGCAUCGCGAGGUGCAGCUGUCGGCGGUCGGGCCCUUGCUUCAGGGGCCGGAGUCCUUGCUGGGUUCACCGUUGCGGGUGAGCACCGGCCGUCCGACGGGGGCCGCUCUUGGGCCUCGCACACGGGAGAGUGCGGGGGCGGCGUUUCCCACUCCAGCUGUCCCAUCCGGGGCAGCUGCGCAACCAACCAAAACACUAUGCAAAAACCGACUGAAGACCGAUCCCUUGCGGGGCGCCUUCGGGAGCCCUGCCUCGGAUCAAAAACAAACUAAAGACAACUCUCAACAACGGAUAUCUUGGCUCUC
rnacentral:misc_RNA from 1 species